AUGGCUGGGGCACCUCCAGAAUAUAAGAUAUCAUUAGCACAGAUGUACUUUGUGGGGAGAGCUGAUGUCUGGUUAAGGAGAGCGGGCAUUUUGAAGAAGCAGUAUACCUGGGGCCAGUUCUGUGCUGAAAUUCUGCACCGUUUUUCUGCUUCCAGUACCUAUGAUCUUGUGGAAAGAUUCAAUGCUUUCAAGCAAAAUAGUCUCUCUAUUGCUGAAUAUACAGAUCAGUUUGAAGAUCUAAUGGCUCAGGUGCAGGAGGAUAAUCCAAAUUUAACAGAAAUGUGGUUUGUAAAGUGUUAUGUGAAUGGAAUGAGAGCAACAACUAAGUUUCUGUUAAGGCCACUGAGACCUGAAACUUUAACUGAUGCAUAUUGGUUGGCUGUUGAUAUUGAACAGGCUACUCCAGCCAGGAAACCUUAUCCUCUGACAUCUGGUACACAAAGACAUACAACUCCAUAUUAUAAACAGCCAGGUGCAAUUGUGGAUGAAGGAGCCGAAGCAACACAACCAAUGGUCAUACAGAGAGCUAGAGAACCUGGUAAGUGUUGGCGAUGUGGGGACAGUUGGUUUCAUGGACAUAAAUGCAAACAGGCCCCUGUUAUUAAUUUGUUAACGGGAGAAGACCCCACUGAAUUACCAACUACAGAAGAACCAGAAGAAAUGACUGAAAUAGAUCAGCCAGAGCAACCAAAUGCUGAGGAGAACUGUAUGCAAAUUUCUUUGCAGGCCAUGAGCACUGCCAGAGUAAGCACAUUAUCUGUGCUGGUCCAGAUUGGGGGCAAGCAAGCAGUUGCGCUAGUGGAUUCUGGGAGCAAUUCAACAUUUCUGAACUUGAAAUUUACACUGACCACAAACUGCACUAUAUUGAAAGAUAAAUCUAGAGCUGUGACAGUAGCAGGUGGGGGUAUAUUGUGGUCUGGUGCUUAUGUCCCCACUAAAUUCCAAAUCGGCAAAGAACAGUUUGCACAUCCUUUCAGGAUUUUAGAUUUACCAGGGUAUGACAUGGUCAUUGGUCUGGCAAAGUAG
rnacentral:rRNA from 1 species